rnacentral:rRNA from 1 species
GUGGGGAAUAUUGGACAAUGGGCGAAAGCCUGAUCCAGCCAUGCCGCGUGUGUGAAGAAGGUCUUCGGAUUGUAAAGCACUUUAAGUUGGGAGGAAGGGCAGUAAGUUAAUACCUUGCUGUUUUGACGUUACCGACAGAAUAAGCACCGGCUAACUUCGUGCCAGCAGCCGCGGUAAUACGAAGGGUGCAAGCGUUAAUCGGAAUUACUGGGCGUAAAGCGCGCGUAGGUGGUUUUGUCAGUUGGAGGUGAAAUCCCCGGGCUCAACCUGGGAACGGCCUCCAAAACUGCAUUACUAGAGUACGGUAGAGGGUAGUGGAAUUUCCUGUGUAGCGGUGAAAUGCGUAGAUAUAGGAAGGAACGCCAGUAGCGAAGGCGACUACCUGGACUGAUACUGACACUGAGGUGCGAAAGCGUGGGGAGCAAACAGGAUUAGAAACCCCAGUAGUCC